rnacentral:rRNA from 1 species
UAUUGGACAAUGGGCGCAAGCCUGAUCCAGCAAUGCCGCGUGUGUGAAGAAGGCCUUCGGGUUGUAAAGCACUUUAGUCAGGGCAGAAAAAGCUCAAGCUAAUACCUUGAGUGUUGACGGUACCUGAAGAAUAAGCACCGGCUAACUCUGUGCCAGCAGCCGCGGUAAUACAGAGGGUGCAAGCGUUAAUCGGAUUUACUGGGCGUAAAGGGUGUGUAGGUGGUUGUUCAAGUCGGUUGUGAAAGCCCUGGGCUUAACCUAGGAAUUGCUUCCGAUACUGAAUAGCUAGAGUACGGUAGAGGGCGGUGGAAUUUCCGGUGUAGCGGUGAAAUGCGUAGAUAUCGGAAGGAACAUCAAUGGCGAAGGCAGCCGCCUGGGCCUGUACUGACACUGAGACACGAAAGCGUGGGGAUCAAACAGGA